UACGUAGGGGGCAAGCAUUGUCCGGAAUCAUUGGGCGUAAAGCGCGUGUAGGCGGUUCAGUAAGUCUGCUGUGAAAGUCCAGGGCUCAACCCUGGGAUGCCGGUGGAUACUGCUGGACUAGAGUGCGGAAGAGGCGAGUGGAAUUCCCGGUGUAGCGGUGAAAUGCGCAGAGUAUCGGGAGGAACACCUAUGGCGAAGGCAGCUCGCUGGGACGUUACUGACGC
rnacentral:rRNA from 1 species